UGGUAUACUUCAUCCAAAGCUAAAUACGGGCGAGAGACCGAUAGCGAACAAGUACCGUGAGGGAAAGAUGAAAAGAACUUUGAAAAGAGAGUGAAAUAGUGCUUGAAACCGUUGGGAGGAAAGCGAAUGGAGCUGCUAUAUAGACCAAGAAUUCUCAAACCGGCCAAAUUUUAGGAACCCGUUGUAGUGAUCUUGGAUCUACGUUUGCAAAAACUUUUUGUCCUGGCGGUUCAUAACUUUAGAGUUAAUUUACUUAACGUUAUGUAAUGUGUAAACAUUCGAAUGUUAUGCAAAAAUAAAUCUUCUGUGAUGUGACCAGAGACAAAGGUUGAACAAGUCUACAAUGAAAUAAUUUGAUAGACUAAAAAAAUUUUAAAAUAAAAAGCAGACGGAAGGGCUUUAUUCGACCCGUCUUGAAACACGGACCAAGGAGUCCAGCAUGUACGCAAGUGCUUAGGUGGUAAACCUUAGCGCGUAGCGAAAGCAUAGGAAUAAUGAAUUAUUUGACUUUUUUUUCUUCUUUCUUAGGAAAAAGAAAAAAUUUGUUUUUUUAAUUGUCAUUUUUCUAAUGUGGGAGCUUUUUCCUUUUGGAUGCGCACCACGAUCCAACUUUCAAAGCUUAGGCAGGAACAGUUUGAGACCGAGCGUAUAUGAUGGGACCCGAAAGAUGGUGAACUAUGCCUGAGUAGGAUGAAGCCAGAGGAAACUCUGGUGGAGGUCCGAAGGCGUUCUGACGUGCAAAUCGAUGCUCGAACUUGGGUAUAGGGGCGAAAGACUAAUCGAACCAUCUAG
rnacentral:rRNA from 1 species